rnacentral:lncRNA from 1 species
GUCUAAUAGAGUAAAAUAAAACUUUUCGAAUAUAUGCACAAAAUAUAUAAAAACAAGAACCUUUUUACAGGUUCUACUCGCCUGGCAGUGAUGUUGACUUUUCAUUCUCUUUGAAAAAUAUCAAGGCAAAAUUUAAUGAGAUUCACUAACUCAAUAAGUAUUUUCGUUCUUUCAACCCAGGUAAAAUUUCAUGCAAACACACGGUAAGAAACAAAAGUAAUAAAAAUGUUUCAGUACAAAUUCAUGUUCUUAUUUUCACUAUUUCACAUAUUCCUGAUCGAUCUGAUGAAUUCUCUCGAAUAUCAUAUACAAACCUCAAAUGUCUAUUCUCAUACUCUCGAAAGUCAUAAAUGCACUCGAAUAUCAAUCAUCAUUUUGAAAUAUAAUCGAACACAAAAAAGAUCACAGAUACACUAGAAUAUCAUUCAUAAUCUCGAAACAUAAUCACACACACACAAAAGAUAACAAAUACACUAAAAUGGUCAUUUUUUGGUUUCAUCGCA